rnacentral:misc_RNA from 1 species
CGAGACAUGGUCGAGCGAUCAAUUGGGAAUACCUGAGCGUUGAAUUUGGAUACAUCUUCGGCUUGGUAAUAACUGUUGGGCCCCUAAUAUUCUGGGCUCGUUGGAGAAUGUGGUAUUACAAACGCGUUGAUCGUUUUCUUGUCAAGAUACUCCCGCAGCUAGGUGAUAGAAUCAAGAAGUUGAGGAGGAGAGACUAGCAAUUCAGAAAAGGAUCAAGGCAGCCAGAGCAUUUGAUUAUUUCAUGUUUCGC